AAUAACUGCUGUACCAGACUUCAAACACAGAGAGAAGGGGAAAUCAAAAAAAGCCAGUUACUUUGUUUAACUUUAAAAAGUUGUCUGUUUUUUACCAAGUAGCCUGUGUCUGGCUUUUGGGUUGUCCGGCCUUAAUUUUAUGAGUAUUGUUUUGGAAAGGCUUGCUUCUUUUUCUUUGUUUCAGCUUGUCUUGUCUUUCUUUUUCAUUGUUGUGCAUCUUGCAAACUAGUGCAAUUUCAGGCCUCGUACAGAACAGUCCUUUGCCUAAGCCACCCUGCUGUGGCCACGGAGGAAACUGCUACGCCGGGAAGUCGGUUCUCCUAAUUCAGCCCUUGGUUAUGUACUGAACAAUACCUAAGCCUUAUUCUGUGACAGUUUUUGUCCAGCUCUUUGGUUGUAUUUAAGCAGUGCAGCCCAGAAAACACACUGAAUUUUUUUUUCCUUCUGUCUAAACGCAGAGAAUAUAAAUGGAGUAACUUGGUGCGUGAACUACUCAAAACAAAUUACACCUGCUUCCCUCUCAUACUAAGAUGCCUGAAGUAAGCUUUGAAUUUGCAGGCAGUCAGGCUUGUUUCCUCUGGCAAGAGGCUUGAUGUGUGCUGGCAUGGUGAUCCCUGGAGAGCUACUGUGGUUUUUUGCAGGGGCAGGCAGGGAGGAGGAAGUUUCUUGUCCCUGUGCUUAUCUUAUACUGUCUACAGUGCAACUAUAGGAAGGCCUAGGCGUUGCCUGCAGCCAGUGUCACUGGAUUUUUUCUUGAAGGAUCUGAUUACGCCUCGUUUCUCCCCUGCUAUUAGAACUUCUAUCUUCUCUGGAAGUGAAGUGCAAAGCGGUUCCUAUAGGAAUAAACACUCCUGUAAUUCUGUAAUGCAUCUGACUGAGGCAGCCAUUCUGGAAGAGGCAUUUAAGAGUUAAACCCAAGCAGCUGCCGCUUUAUUUGAAGUGGCUUGUAAUUUUCUUCCUUUGAUGCAAAGUGGGGAAUGUAAUCAAGAUGGCUGAAUAGAGAAUUUUAAGUAUAUUUUGGUGAGACAGCAGGGAGGGGAAAUAGAGGGCAGCUUCUUGCUGGGUGAGGAAAUUAAAUAUAAAAACCUAGAGCUGAAUUGCCACUAAACUGGAAUUUUACCAUAUUUGAGUGCUGUUUAAAAUAGUACUUAACUUGAUUCUCAGAAAAAAUAGCAGCUGCUUAUGUGAGGAAAUGUAGCAACUGUUUAGUAAUAUAAUGCAGCAGAACAGUUUUCUCAGUAGAGAAGCUUUGCAUCUAGCAAGCAGGAGCAGUUCAUCUGUGAACAUGAGUAACUGCCUGUAUUUUGUCUGAGGAGCUGUGUUUUGUUUGCCUGUGACAGCAGAGUUAACGGUCCUGUCUUCGUUAGGUGUAUUCCGAGAUGCACAGAAAUCGGGUGAUGUAUUGGAUCCCUUUCCAUCCCCCUGCUAACCCAGCUUUGAAUAUCUGCUUCAGUAUAAGCACCGUGCAAGGGCGGGAUCCUUUCUCUGAUGUUCUUAAGCUCCCAAGGAGGAGGAAGGCUUCCUUGUAUCCCAGGGAAUGAUAUCCUGGAAUGCCUUCUGGCUCAGCAUGUGUGCCUUAAGUGUACCGUGAGCUCCCACUCAGAACCUCUGCCGUGAUUUAAUGCUGCAUGGGAGAUCACCUGCCAUUGCUGUUCUCUUCGAGAUCAGCGAAAGCAUCCUGUUGUUUGCGCCUUGCAACUUAGAUCUCAAACAUCUUUGUGCCUGGUGUAGGGAAAUGAGAGUUUGGUCUUUGGGGCGCAGAGGACAGUGCACCUGCAUGCAUCCUUGCAGGGGUUAGUGCGCUGCCAGGGCCCUGGGGUGCCUGGGAUGGCCCUCCUUUUCCUCCGGUGGAAUUCUGGUAAGGAGGAAGGGAGCUGGCCUGGCACAAAAGACCCCAGUGACAGCGCUGAGCAUGAGCCGGUUGUUGGUGCCAUCUAGCUGCUCUCCCUGGCAUAGGCGCUUGGCAGGAGCAGGCUGCAGACGGUGGAACUAAUGAGGCUUAAUUAAACAAAGCCUUCAGAAGUAAAUGCUGUGACAUGCUGGCAACAAGUUUACUUUAUGAGUAAGCUUAUUGGUGCUGUAUCUUAGAGAGAAUAAUCGUGCACUUGUUUGAAAGUUGUUCUUGGGCAGUUCCUGCUCUAUCUGGGCUUAUGCAAAGCCUGGGUCGCAGGGUGAAGUUAAUUAAAUCUCAGUGCAGCUGAGCUGACUGUAUAGACUGGCUGCUGCUUCCUUCAGAAGUGGUGUAUGUGACAGGCAAAGGCAGAGGUCAUCGUGAUACGCUACAGCAACUAUCAGUGUAGUAAGUGAUUAAUGCUGAACUGCCUGGUGGUUUUCUCAGUUUGAUUUGGAAAGCUUUUGCUGCUCUUUCCCACCUCGGCCAGUUUACCAGCAAGGCUUUUCUCAAAAGCAGGUCCCCAUUUAAGCAGCUGUUGCUGAGCUGGCUCUCAAGGAAACUUGCCUCCUGAAGGAUUUUUCUGACAUUUCUUUGAUCAAAGGAGCCCUUUUGCUUACAGCGUGGCUUUAGUUACAAAGUGAUGGAUGGGAUCUUCUUGCUUCCAAGGCUAAACUGUGCCUUAGUAGGUCAGACCUGGUUCCUAAUACCACAGCGUUCCUCCCUUCAUCGCAAUAGGGGAGAGUCUUGCGGAGUCAUUUUCUUGUCAGUCUGGAGUGAGAGGUCUAUGGAUUCAGAAGAGGAAUAAUUUAGGAGGGAUUAUCCCUGCUCAUUCCUCUAGAGCUGCCCCCAGUUCUGCAGUACCACGAUGCAUGCGAUGGCUGCCUUUCAGCCCCAGCACCUACCAGGCUGUGCCCCCAGCUUUGGCACGCCAGGCGAGGCAGCGGGCUGGGGCUGUCCACCUCUGCUCAGCCCUUGUACGAGAGCAGAGGAGCGAGAAGGAAGAGUUGUUCCUGUGCUUUCGGAGGAAUGGUUGGUAAGGGUAGUGAGGAGACCUCCUGAGGGUGACUGUUCUUUGCUGGCAGGGCUGGGUACUCUGCUGGAAAGAUUUUGCUGUGCUCUUGAUUUUGCUGGUUAAUGUUUUUAGCUGUCAGUUGAUUUCUGAGGUCAUAGCUAAUGUGGAACUACUUAGGAAUUAAAUUUAAAGAAAGAUUUAUGAACUUGAAAGAGAAGCUACCUUAUAUCACUUUACUGAAAAUAGCUGUGUUUAUUCAAGGGGAAAAAAAGCCUAUCAAAGUGAUGUCCAGCAUCCUCUUUCAUUGCACACAUAACCUCCACUGAAAGAAACACCGAAAACUGCUUUUUCUGAUACUUCCAGAAAGAAAAAAACCUUCCAGAUUUGUACAAGGUGGGCCUUUUUGGUCUGUUUUUCCUUUUUUUCCUGUGGACCUGAAGGAAUUUUGUAGCGGAAAGUAAAUACCAGGUUUGCACCACUUGCAGCUGGGCAGCUUGGGACGGGGGGAGCGACUGACUGGGGGUCGUAUAUCUGAGCCGUGACUCAGUGUCUGCGCCAUGAAUUUAGGUGCCUCUUAUUCAGUGAUGGAGCACACUGAAUUUCCAUCCUGAUUUGCAUUGAAGACCCUCAAAUCCCACUUGAAUGUAUGUUAUUUUACCCCUUCAAUUCUAUCACCUAAUUCCCCAGCAACUUACCCUGGCAGCUGCGGGCUCCCAAUGCCAUGCUGUUCAUAGCUCGCAGGGGACGCGGUUUGCGGGCAGAGAAGGAUCUCACCUGUGUGAAAUCCAGAGGCAAUUGGCAAGAGAGGGAAGAGCAGACAGCAGAGCAGCCUGUUUUAUGAGCAGAGAAGGUCUGUCUGCAAGAGCAGAGAGAGCCUGAUUCCCUCAUGUGUCUGGCAGCAAGUCCCAGCCUGGUCAGUGCAGAAGGGAUUGACUGGGAACAGAUGAAGAGCUUCUGAGAGGGAGGAAGGCUUGCAGCAAAAUCCUCCCAGCUCACUCAAGUGCCGGAGGUGAGUGCUGGCUCUUUGUGAGCGGCAGGCUACAAAGAAAGAAAAGUGGGGUGGGAGGCAAGAGGCGGGCGAGGGGGGGAAACCCAAACGCCACGCUGUCAGCAGGAGAUUUGGAAAGGAGUGACAGCUUCAAGCACUUUUCCUUGUGCCGGGUCGUCUGGCUGGAUGUGAGAGCUGGGAGGAUUGCAGUUGGUUCUUCUGAGAUAUCAGCGGAGCAGUAAAAAGGGGUUUUGGAUGCUGAUGUGGACUUGAACAGCUGUGAAACCUCUCAAGGGACUGGAACACUGGGGAACCCAUGGAUGGUUUUUACUCUUCCGCAGAAGGAGGUGGGCAGGAUGUGAUCAAUGACACCAGCAGUAGGAAGAGCUGGCCAGAGGAAGGCAAUUCCAAGUUGUCCUUCCGUGCGGUGGCAGCUGCUUUACUUCUCCUUCUCAUCCUCCUCACGCUCCUGGGCAACACCCUGGUGUGUGUGGCUGUGGUCAAGUUCAGACAUCUGCGCUCUAAGGUCACCAAUUUCUUCGUUAUCUCCUUGGCAGUGUCUGACCUCUUUGUGGCUGUGCUGGUGAUGCCCUGGAAGGCUGCCACCGAGGUGGUGGGGUUCUGGCCCUUUGGGGCUUUCUGUGAUGUUUGGGUAGCUUUUGAUAUCAUGUGCUCCACAGCCUCUAUCCUCAAUUUGUGCAUCAUCAGCGUGGACCGUUACUGGGCUAUUUCCAACCCCUUCCGCUAUGAGAGGAAGAUGACGCAGCGUGUGGCUUUUGUCAUGAUUGGAGUGGCUUGGCUACUGUCCCUCUUGAUUUCCUUCAUCCCUGUGCAGCUGAAGUGGCACAAGGAUCGUGAGCUCCUUAGCCAACGGGAGCCAAGUUUUAAUGUCACCGGCGGGGAGGGGAACUGUGAUACCAGCCUCAACAGGACUUAUGCCAUCUCGUCUUCUCUCAUUAGCUUCUACAUCCCUGUUGCCAUCAUGAUUGUGACGUACACCCGCAUCUUCCGCAUUGCCCAGCGGCAGAUCCGCAGGAUCUCCUCUCUGGAGAGGGCGGUGGAACAUGCCCAAAACUGCCACAGCAGCGACUGCUCUCACGAGGUCUCCCUGAAGAGCUCCUUCAAGAAGGAGACCAAGGUCCUCAAGACCCUCUCCAUCAUCAUGGGUGUCUUUGUCUUCUGCUGGCUGCCCUUCUUCGUCCUCAACUGCAUGGUGCCCUUCUGUAAUCUUGACCUACGUGAGCCAGGAGAGCUACCUUGUGUCAGCGAGACUGUCUUCAACAUCUUCGUCUGGUUUGGGUGGGCCAACUCUUCCCUCAACCCUAUCAUCUAUGCCUUCAAUGCAGAAUUCCGGAGAGCUUUUGCAACCAUCUUGGGCUGUGGCUGCCUUUGCCCCAGCAAUGCGGUGGAGACAGUGAACUUCAGCAACGAGCUGGUCUCCUACCACCAUGACACCACGUAUCAGAAGGAAGUAGUGACCCUCAGCUACCCCCAGCUUCUCCCCCACACUGCUCUGCAGAUGGAAAGCAACGAGGUGUCCUUUGACAAAGUUUCUCAGGUCUCCGAGCCCUCUCACGACACCUGCCCUGCGGAUGCCUUGCCUGCGGUGAUGCACGUGGAGUGCGAAAUGGCCGUCUCUCUGGAAAAGAUUAUGCCUUCCACCAGCAACGCGUUCCAUUGAGACGGGGUUGGGAACAGGGUGAUGGGAUGGUUUCGGGGAGAGAUGGAAGCAGGGACACUACUGCAGUUGCCUGUUUUCUGAGGAGUUUGAGGAUAAUGUGGAUAUUAUACUCUCUGUCUGGGCAGGGGUUUGCAUUAAUAAGCGUGGAACAGCCAGAGUGAUUUUCCAGACGGCUCAAGGGGUUCAGAUAUGUGUUUUUGUAACUCACAGUUUCAGAUCCAGCCCAGGUGGGCAGAAGAAUCUGCGUUGCUGCUCCCUCUAGUUGACCCACAGAAGAAUGCCUUCUGCAAAAGACAAAAUGCAAGGGCUCGAAUUCCACUUUCCACGUGGCUUCAGCUGAGAAAGCAGAGACUUGUGUGGUCUCCUGAGCCUCUCCUCCCUAGUCCAUGAAGUGAAAACACAGCUGUGCUUGUGGGGAGAGAGGCUGGUUUUCCCACUGCCCGUGUCCAAAAGGCCAUCAGCCCAAGGCUGCUAAAUGGGCACACGCCAAAUGCGACAGCUUAUUUGGUGAUAACUGCCACUGGCAGAACUAGAUAAUGCUGCCUGGUGCUCGAUGGAAUGGUGCUGUGCUGCGUAGCAGCCUUGAGCUAGGGAAACCCACGUUUUUGGUGGGCUGUGCAGGAAGGAGGUAACGGCCUUGCUGGGAUAACUCGCUUAAGCUCACCUCUGACUGUCUCUCUGUUGCUCGGGCAAAUUAUCCUGCAAGUCUGGACUAGUGUGCAGCCACCUUUCCUGGAGCCCUGAGGCUGUGCUUGGUAGCAGCUUGUCAGGAGCGUGUUGCCAGACAUUUGCUCUCGCUCAUUAGGGAGGGAUUUGGCAUGCUAAAGGUCUGCUCUGGCCCCUGGAGCAAGAGCCAGCCUCUCUAGGCUGGGACGUGCACAGCUGAGGGCGGUCUAGGGUGAACAUAAAUUGUGUUUUAGCCCCAGGACGCUGGACCGUUUGCUUGGAGCCUUUGGGAAUGAGGGUGCCUGAGCCCUUCAGACUCUGAGGGUAGAGGAGAAAAUCAGAUGUUAAAGCAAGAACGUUGCUGUUUUGGUUUCUGCGCCUCCGCCACAUCUUCCAUCAGUCAGGUCCCCCCCCUUCCUAGGCUGUUUCUUCUCCCUUUUACUUUGUUCUCCCUCUAAUUCCCUUCCUCCCCCAUUUCAUUAAGGAUCCUUCCUCACUGCCUCCCUUGCUGUCUCAUUUCAAUAAUAAUGGCUUCUUAAGAAGCACUCCUUCCUCACCUGUACUCUUUAAUUAGCCUCUCCUGUGGGUAUGGGAGCUUGUGUCUGGUUAGCUGGGGGUAGAAACAGCCAGUGAACAGCCCCCAGCAUUUCACUGCCGGCGGUGACACGAGUGACUUUAGAAACUUGUUUUGAUUGGUGCCUGGUUAAACACUGCCGCAGCGAGCAGCACAUCCAUGUCGUCUUGAAUCUGAGACAUCUUUAGCUCUCUGGCACGGCAGAAAAGCCUCUCCCCCUCCCCAGCAAACGUUAACAAAGAGAAAAAUCAGAAAGCGAUAAUUACAGAGUAACGGUAAUUAUUAAAUAGAGCCCAAUUACAGUCAAGUUACAGCAUAAUCAGCGUGGGAGAGGAGCAGAGCUCACCGUACCUCCGAGGUCGACACUUGGAUUUUUCUGGGGAAGCACUGAUAAGUCUCAGCUUCAUCUGUAACCAUCUCCCCAUGUGGCAGUGGGGGCUAGCUGUCAAAACAGACCAGUCUUGGGGCUUUUUAGCUCUGGGAGGACGGUGGAGCCUAACUUAGAGAAGGAGUUGUUCUGAGAUGGGGACGAUCAUCUGGCACGUUUCUAGGAGGCCCAACAGGACUGAUCUCAUUUGAAGGUUGCUGCAGUAUAUAUAAUGAUUUCCCACACUAAAAGCAGGUGUUGUAGCACAUGUUUUAUGGUUGUGCUUUACUUGUGGACUCCUGGCUUGGUGGCGAGGAGGAGUCAGAAUACCCAGCUUUUUUCAAAGCAGUGCUAGCCUGGCCUCCAUGUUCUUGGAGAAUUUACUGAUACUCAUCUUGUGGUAAGGUUCUGGGGCUUAAUCCACGACUGUUUAAAGAGAUCGGAGAAAAGCAAGUAGUUCAAUGUAUUGCUAUUGUCAAUGACGAGUUGCAGGGUGAACCUGCAAAAGACAAUGGAGAGGGUGACACGACCCUUUUCUUCGUCCAGUUAUUGUGUCUGCAUUUACCUGGCGUUGGGGAACGCUGCAACAGUCCCCAGCUCCAAAGCACUGGGGCUGUCCUCUACCAACGGUGCAGCGCACCGGCUCCCUCCGGCUGGACCUCUUACCGGGACUCCUGGCCUGGCUGGUCAUACGGAUGGCCGAUACCGUCCUGCCAUCUGCAUCAGGAGAGACGAAGAGGUGACAAUGAGCUAACCCAAAAACUUCCAGGUUAUGGAACGGGCCUCUGCACAUUGCAGACAUUUCUGUGGUCAGUCUGGGAAAUGGACAACAGCUCCAAAACGGUGUCACUCAGGCUUGCUUGGGCAAAAACACUAGUUUAUUUUGCUUCAGAAUGCUCUUUUUGUCCUGCUAUGGAUUUCCUGCACAGGUUUCCUCCGCAGUUCCACCAGGAAGCAUCCUCCUCCGACCAUCCUAAAGUCAGGCAGCAUACUGCUGCAUCCCUGCCUGUAUUUCAGAGUUCCUGCUGCAAUGAUGAACAGCAAGCACCCUGGAGACACAGGAGAUUGCCCAAAACUGCUGCUGGGGAGUCUGCCGUGGAGAGCAUGGCCUGUGGUUCAUCUCUGCUCGCAGAAGAACUGCGCUAAGGAAAACGAGCAAGUAGGUGUCCCAACUUCAAAGCUCUUCUAGCUGGUACCCACCGCCUCCACAGACCGGGGCCUCCUGUCCGCUGCCACCCUGGCGCUGCGCUGCAUGGAUGG